UGUAAAUUGAUGCAGCCACUAUGGAUGACAGCAUGAAGGUUCUUCAAAAAAUUAAAAAUAGAGUUGCCAUAUGAUCCAGCAACCCCACUCCUGGGCAUAUAUUCAGAGAAAACCAUAAUUCAAAUAGAUAUAUGUGGAGUUCUCACCGUGGUGCAAUGGUUUAAGAAUCUGACUGCAGUGGCUUGGGUUGCUGCAGAAGUGUGGGUUUGAUCCCAGGCCUGGCAGAAUGGGUUAAAGAAUUCCAAGUUGCCACAGCUGCGGGAUAGGUCACACCUGUGGCUUGGGUCGUUCCCUGGGCUGGGAUCUCCAUCUUGCCACCAAACAAACAAACAAACAAACAAACCCCAAAAGCAAAGCACAACAACAGAUGAAUUUAGUUACAAAACGGAAAGAGACUCACAGACAUAGAGAAUAGAUUUUUUUUGUUGCCAAGGGUUGGGGGUGGUGGAGGGAUGGAUUGGGAGUUUGGGCUUAGCAGAUGCUAACUAUUACAUACAGAAUAGAUAAACAACAAGGUCCUAAUGUGUAUCACAGGGAACUGUAUUCAAUAUCUUGUAAUAAACCACAAUGGGAAAGAGUAUGAUAAAGAAUACAUACGUAUAGAGGUAUCUGAAUCACUUUGCUGUACACCAGAAACUAACACAACACUGUAAAUGAACUAUAUUGAAAUAAAAAAAAAUUAAAAACAAACAAAUAAAAAAAUCUUUUUCUUCUACCCAGCAACUUGGAGAUGGUCGUAGGACAUUAGUACAAUCUUCCCAGGUUGCUGGCCUCCUGAAUAAAGAACUUUUUCCUUUUUAGCCAACAGCCGUCUCUCCAGCAUUAGUCUUUCCAACAGUGAGCAGCUGAACGUGGGUUUUGUAUCCGCCUCCUCGAGUUACACUCCUGGGUUAAACACAGUCACUGACUACAAUAGGCAGGGAUGUUUACUCUGGGAGCUGCAGCCGAGCUCCACACUUGACAACUUGCUCAGGUCGCUCAACAUCCCUCCCCUAUUUUCUCCAAUAUGACCCUGUCUGGAGUUUUGUCUCUCUUGUCAUUGCCCAAAUACACUGUACCCCACAAAAUUAACUUUGAAGAGAAAUAAGAUUUUACUAGCUUCCAGGUAAUAGGCGUAUGCACUGAGGACUGACAAGAUUCCUUGUGUCUUGAUUUUGUAGCUUUGCGAAGUAUCUGAAUAAAAUAUCUCUAAACAUUCCUGUGAUCGGUUGCAGACUACACUCCACGGAAAUCUUCGUUCGUCCCUUUAAAUGAAGUGAGACCCCAUCCCUACAUGGGUCCUUGCGGGCACCACUUCGGUGAGCCUCUCGCUUGGGGGAUCUUGGCCUGGGCCCAGAGGUCUGGAGAGGGGGCCCCUAGCCAAGCUCCAUCGGCCCAGCGGGAACUACAUUACCCAGACGUCUCUGCGCCGCGCGUCCACGGCACUGCGCCAAUGAAGGCCAAGGAGAAAGCCGCUUUAAAUACUUUGCGCAACCUGUUCUGGCGGGGUUUCCGGCGUCCACCUGAAGAGGGUCACUUUGGCGACCUUUGGGUCGGUCCGGUUGAUCCAGUUCUGCACUCUUGGUCCGGCCUGAGACAGUGGAGCAUUCUUGGGUGAAGUCCCGAUUUCUGACACCCACCGUGAUGAGAAAACUGUUACAUGCAGAGGGACCAGCAUGUGCUGAGCAAUGGAAUCGCGACUGAGGAGCAUGCGGGAAACAUUGUGAAUGGACAAGCCGUAUGUGGAAUGGUAGCUGCCUCAGCAGCUUGGCCAACAUUCUGAAGGCGUUGGAGGGUUGUGAGCACAGAGACUAGAUCUGAGUUUCCAUGGUUUCAGAAGCAUUUAUGAGCCAUGCACAGGCCUGCAGUUCCUCUUGCUUCUGGUGUCUUCUCCUUGGUGGGUGGAGCUGGAUUUUGUUCUUCUGGGGGUCAGGACUAUGUCAAGAGGUAUGUUUAAAGGUGACUGCAAGCUUGUCUGUGUUUAAUUUUGGGGGGGUGGUUGUUUAAUGGAUGUCUCUCAGUUUUCCUCUUUGCAUGCCAGCCUCUAUCCCUCUGAUAGGAGGUGUAACUGAUGGUGUGGUGACCAGAACCUCUGCCGGAUAUUGAGUUGGGCCUCCCCUUUGCUCUGUGGUUGUCAAUGGCCCUUCAGGGGCAGGGUCUGCUCCCUAAUGAUUGGAACAGUAGCCCCCAGAUAUUCCUGAGCUAUAUGUUUUUUGGUUGUGGCACGAGGUAGGUAGGAUUGGAGCACUCCCACUAGGAGGAGCCCCCUCAGGGUUCCUCCACUGGAGCUGUUCACAGUUUGCUCUGUUGUGUCACCUUUCACCCCUUGUGUGGAUUCACAGAGUACACCACUGGCACCACUGCUAUGCCAGGGUAUAAUUGGCCCUGGUGUUUCCCAGGCAUUGGUUUCAUCUGCCCACCAGUGCAGAUCUACUGAGGUCAGGUCCAAGAUUGCAGUGGUUGUGUACCUGGCCCACUGUGGGCUCUAUGGAGAAAGCCUAGACUCUGUUCCAGAUCUAAAUUACAUGCUUGCAAAGCCCACAGCUGCUAAAGCCAGACCUGUCUGAGCUGUGGGGGCUUAUUGUCCAUUUGGAUAUUCCACAAGUGCUGAAUUUACAAAGCUGCGAGUGGAGAUGUAAAUCUGUUGUUCACAAGGCUGGGAGGAGUGACUGCAGUUCAUCCUCAGUUGGAGAACCCGGAGUCAAGUGUGGUUUCAGCCCCCUCUCUGUGUGGGCAACACACUGGAGACUCCUCCCAAGGCAGCAGGAGCUCAGGAGCCUAUCCAGGUGGGAAGAGGAUGGGGCAGCAUCUGGUUGUACAAGCCUACCCAGAAGGGAGGUGGGCUGGGGAUCAGGCUCUCAGGCUCACUCUGGCAGGAGUGGGCUUGCCUGAGUUUGUGCUGAGUGAAUCUGCCCCUAGUGUAAGCAGGCUGGAGUCAGGUAAUGGAAAUUCACUCCAGUGGCAGAGCUGGCACAAUGGUCUUGGUGGGCAGGCCAGCCCUAUUGCAGCCUCUCCUAGGCUGCAGGGGCCUCCAUGUGCAAGGGGGCUACAGUGGUUGCUCCUUGCACAUCAUCCAGUAAUGAUGCUCCGUCUCUGUGGCUGUCUGGGCCUACCCCCGGAACCUUUGCAGCUAUGGUGCUUUGCCCUCCCACCCCUUCCAGUUGCCUCUGCCUAGCCAACUGCAGUUCUGUCCCUGGGCCUGCUCUCCAAACGUGACACUCCAGGCCCGGGCCCCUGCCCACAUCAGUGGUUGGGAGUCUCAGGCUGGGGCACACAAGGCUGUGACAAGGAUAUCAGUCUAGGUCUCACUGUCCCACCUGCUGUAGACCAGCUGCUGUGUUUUUUUCUCUGAGCCUCCAAAGGACCUUUCCUGUCCCAGCUGACCCCUCUGCUGGUGAGGUGACUUCCCCAGGUAUAGGAACCUCUCUUCCCCUUCAGCUCCCUCCCUGGGGUACAGGUGCUGACUUGUUUCCAUUUCUCAUCUCUUUUUUUUUUUUCCCCCUUUCAUAGAAGAUCCCUCUUGUACUUUCAGGUGUUUUGAGUUUUUCUGUCGGUGUUCAGUCACUGUCCCCUAAGGAGUGUUCCACUUGUAGAUGUAUUCCCAGUGUAUUUGUGGGAAGAGGUGAUCUUCAUUUAUCUCUCUCCUUCAUGAGUUUCCAGUAACCAGUCCUCCAUAUUGUUUCCUUAAAAAGUACAAGCCUGUGAGAAGUAGUUCUGGCUUUUCAAGGAACAUGCACUCGGGGAUACCAAGGGGCAAAAAAGAACAUGGAUGCCAGUUUUCCAGGUGCCUCAAGAGUCUUAUACAUCUAUGUGUAAUGAUGCACAUGUGCAGGAGUUCUACUUGUAAUUCUUUUUAUGAGCGAGCAGAAUGACUAGAUUGAAGACACCUAUUUACAGAGCAUUUACAUUGUAUUAGGCAUUAUAGGUAAUCUGCAGAUGGUUUCAAGUACUAGGAGGAAAGUCAUAGGUUAUACCCAAGUACAAUGCUAUUUCUAUAUAAGGGGAUUGAGCAUCUGCAGAAUUUGGUAUCUGCAGGAAUUCCUAGAACCAAUCCCUUGCAAAUACGAAUGGACAACUAUAUUUGGCAACCAGGAUCUAGGUGCUGGGAGGGUUUGUUGCUGCAGUGUUGCUUCUAGACCCUCUCAGAACAGACCUGAGGAAUAUAGGUGUGUAUGAUUAUUUCUCAGCUCUAGUCAAGUACAACAUGAUUCCUCCUAGUUUUCCAUCCUUAUUUAUAACUUCUUUUUCUGACCAUGACAAAACUGGCUUCCAUUAUCUAUAAUUUAUUGACUUAGUUUCUCAACUUGAUUAUAAAUGUAAAGUAGCAUCCCUGGGAAAUUAAUUUAUCUACUAGACUAUACUGUUUAUGAACAAUUUUUUUGUCUUUCACUUUAUAGUUUGCAGUCAAAACACCUGGCUGCUUGUUCACUGCCUGCCCCAGUGCCAACUGGAGCACAUGCAUAUGACGGGCCCCCAACACUGUACAAAUUCCCACAACUAGUUUUUUAACUGUGCCACAUCCAUGCUGCUCCCCAGCCAGCACAGAUGCAUGCAGCUGGUCUUGACUCCCAUUUUUGGCUUUCACUGUGGCAUGCAUGCAUACAGGCUGCCUACCAUGGACCCAACACUGGCCUAUAUGCCACAGUUACACACCUGCACCUGGUCCUUGUGACUGUACACAUAUAUGCCAAGAGCUUCAGUCGUCCAGCUACACAUAUACCCCCGGUCAUUAUGCGUGUGCCUGCAGUUGAACCUUGCUACCAUACACACAUCUGUAGCCAGCCCACAGCUGAGCACAUGUCCAUCUCAGGCCCUUGCCACCAAUGCCACCUGCCCUGGUCCUCCACUACUGGAGGCACUGAUGAGGACCCUAAAAGCCCUUGCAAAUCUCUUUGAACCUGUCAGCUCUUGCUGCUAAGGACCAGAAAGUUGCACACCAAAGCUGCCUGAACCUACAAGACACCACACUGCCCCAGCCAUGGAGCCCACCACACCCUGCCCAGACUUGUUUCCCCAGGCCACUACCCUGGGGACCACAGUGUGCUCCAGCACUAGCAUCUGUCCCCCAACCCACAGGUGAAGGCUUUUCCGUACUAAAGCCAGUCCAUGAAGUCUGGAUGAAGUGAAUGUUUCUUCAAAUGUCCAGACACAUGCAAAACUACAAGGAUCACAAAGUAUUAGGGAAACAUGACAUCACCACAAGUACAUAGUAAGCUUCCAGUAACUGACACUAAAGAAAUGGAGAUCUGUGAACUGCCUGACAAAAUUAAAAAUCAUUAUACUAAAGAUACUCAGAGAGCUACAAGAGAACAUAAACCAUUUGAUGAAAUCAGAAAUACAAGAACAAAAUGAGAAGUUCAACAAACAGAAAAAAGAACCAGAUAGUUUGGAGCUAAAGAAUACAGCGAAUGAAGUAAAAUAUGCAACAGAGAGAGCUGCAACAGAAGCCUCCAUUAAGUCGAGGAAGCAAACGGACACCACCUAGAUCUGUCAGAGAUGGGGAUAUCUAGGUACAUAAAGCUCAGAGGUCCCAGUCAGGUUCAACCCAAAUAAGAUUUCACUGAUACACCACCUUAAAAUCAAACUACCAAAAUUCCAAGACAGAAUUUUGAAAGCAGCAAGAGGAAAGAGGCUCAUCACAUGCAAGGGAACAUCCCCCAUCUCCCCACAUAGAGCUCUGUAGUUUUCAGCAGAAACUCUGAAGCCUAAAGAGAGUGGGUAGAUAAUAUUCAAAAUGCUGGGGGGAAAACAGACUAACCCAGCAAAGCUGUUCUUCAGAACUGAAGCAGAGAUAUUCUCAGUCAAACAAAAGAUAAAGAAGUUCAUCAACACCGGUCCUGCCCUAAAAGAUAUUUUAACAGGAGUUCUUUGAGCUGGAAAAAAAAAUGACACUGGUCAGUAACAUGUAAACAUAUGAAAGUAAAAACUCAUCGGUAAAGGUGAAAAUAUAGUCAGGCUCAGAAGACUUUAAUAUGGUAAAGAUGUAAAUUAUUGUUUAACAAAAUAAUCAAAAGUCCAAAGUAUUAAAAAUAACUAGCUAUUAAAGGAUAUACAAUAUAAAAAGGUGUAAACUGUGAUAUCAAAAAAAAAAAAAGCCCAUAAAAAGGACAAGGUGUAAAAAUGUAGAGCUUUUGUAUGUGAUGAAAGUUAGGUUGUUAUCCACUUAAAAUACUCUUAGAGCUAUAAGACUAUAAGACAUGUUAUGUACAAUGUUUUAUGUAAGCCAUAUGGUAAGCACAAGAGAAAAGUCUAUAGUAGGCACAUAACAGUAAAGACAAAUGAAGCAAAAUGUAACACUGUAGCAAGUUCCCAGAUCCCAACAGAAGACCUGGAGGGAAGAGGAGAGAAGCAAAGAUUAUAGGGAACACCCAUUUAACAAAAUGGCAGUAUUACUGUCAAGGAUACUUUAAAGGAAGGGAUGGAAAAAGAUAUUCUAUGUAACUAGCAAACGAAAGAAAGCAGCAGUAGUUAUACAGACCAUAUAAUAUAGACUUUAAGUCAAAACUGUAGAGAUAAUGAUAAAGGAGUCAGUUCAACAGGGGAAAUAAUUAUAACUAUAUACGCAUGCAACAUUGGAACACCUAGAUAUAUAAAACAAAACUGGGGGCAUCCAAUUUCCUCAUUUCAAAACAGAGUACCAAAUUACAGUAUCAAAACAGUAGAAACACAGGCAGAAGAAAAAUGGAACAAAAUAGCAGAAAUAAACACAAACAUUUAUAUUUAACUGAUCUUCAAUAAGUGUGCCAAGAAUAUACAACAGAAGAAAGGAUAGUCCUUUCAAUAAAUGGUGUUGGGAAAUCUGGAUAUCUUCAUGCAAAACAAUAACAACAGCAACAACAAAACGGACUUCUGCCUCAUACCAUCACAAAAAAUAAACAAAAUGGAUUAAAGAUUCAAUUGUUACAUCUGAAAUGGUAAAACUCCUAGAAUAAGCAGGGGAAAACCUUUCUUUUUUUUUCAGUUGGAGAGAACAUGGUUUAAUUAAAGGCAAAGCUGAUUUCAGCAGCUGCAGGGCUUGCACAGACAGGCCAAAACAAAAUGGAAAAAAA